rnacentral:rRNA from 1 species
CACGUAGGGCGCAAGCGUUGUCCGGAAUUAUUGGGCGUAAAGAGCUCGUAGGCGGUCUGUUGCGUCCGCUGUGAAAACUCGGGGCUUAACCCCGAGCCUGCAGUGGAUACGGGCAGACUAGAGGUAGGUAGGGGAGAAUGGAAUUCCCGGUGUAGCGGUGAAAUGCGCAGAUAUCGGGAGGAACACCGGUGGCGAAGGCGGUUCUCUGGGCCUUACCUGACGCUGAUGAGCGAAAGCCAGGGGAGCAAACGGG